GCCCGCGGAUUUUGUCAGAAAGUGGAAACUCUCCGCGAAGGCUUUCCUCGCCGCUGCGGCUCGCGCCUUGCUUCUUCCCCUAGGUUCACCUGCCUGCCCGAGUGACUGAGAGCCGAGCGGACCGGCCCCCGCCGCCCGGAACGCACUUCCAGUCCCAUGGAGCCCGAACUCCUGCUCGGCAUCUCUACUUUCCGCUCCGGCUGAGCUGCUCUGGAGCCCGAGACCGGGGAGGCGCGACUCUCGGCCCACAGCCGCACCGCCGCCGGGUGCUGUCCGCCCUCCGAGACCCGCGCCAGAGCCUUUGAAACUGGCAGAGGACGCUGCACCAGGAAAUCUGUGGACUUGGGAUGAGGCAAGCCCCUGGACUGCUCUGAGGACAGGGCUCUGGAUACUGGAGCACAUCGUAUGGGACUGGGGCUCCAAUGGCAAACAUGACUUCAUUGGCGAAUACACCUCAGCAUUCAAGGAGAUGAGAGGAGUGAUGGAAGGGAAACAGGUCACCCACAACAUGGAAGAAAUCGACUCCUAAUACAAUCUUCCCACAGUAUCUCUAAGUUACAUGUGGACUUUGGGUGAAAUGGAUCUGGAACAGAGACCACCCAGCAAGCAGCUCCCUGCCCAACCAGCAGGAAGAGGGGAGAGGAGCGGGGGCACGGAGGACUCUCACUCAGACACCAGGAUCCCAGGGCCACCAGCAGGGACAGCAGUGACGGAGAUGAGGCACAGCCCCAGAGAUGGGACUAGAGGGUCCACAGAUGGCUGGUCAGGUCCUGGCUCAUCUUCACCCCAGACACACUGUCCCCCAUACAUCCUGUCCCUAAGUGUAAGUUCUUCCAGUGCAGUCAGGCAGAGCUUCAGACUGAGGGGCAGCUCUUCCAAACUGACCCGUUGGCAAACACCUCAGGAUUCACUCAAAUGGGGGCCCUGGAGCUAACAACUCAUGGACCAAAGUGGAUGUCGGUGCCAGGGAUGUGGGGGGCGGGGUCAUGUGAUGGCUCCAUUGCCAGAGUCCAGCUCCUGCAGCCAGGGAUGUGCACCCUGUUGGAGAUGGACGGUGUCGGUGAAUGCAUACAAAGACAGCCUCUUUGUUCCUUCUUUCAGGGCGCUGGACUGCUCAAAUUUUAUUGGCAUAGAUGAUUGUUUAUAUAGACAGUUUUCAAUUACACCACAAUGUUAAAAGUACACCUGAAGGUCAAGUUCUAAAAGUUAACUCCCAGAUUAUGCUUCCUAAAAGGCUACAGUCAUAAGGAUUUGGCAUUCACAAGUCUCGUUUUUAGAUUAGUGCUAUCUCCAAGGCAUCAUGGCAAGAGGACAGUAUGAGAAAAUCAACUUCAGUUAGCUAUCACUUAAAAGUUUCUAAAAUCAAGGACAACUCUCAUAGCUAGGUUUCUUUUGAUCAUGAAUAAUAUAUGUCUAACUUUUAUAAACCUCAUUAAAAUCCUAACU
rnacentral:lncRNA from 1 species